UACGUAGGGGGCUAGCGUUGUCCGGAAUCAUUGGGCGUAAAGCGCGCGUAGGCGGCCCGGUAAGUCCGCUGUGAAAGUCCAGGGCUCAACCCUGGAAAGCCGGUGGAUACUGCCGGGCUAGAGUCCGGGAGAGGCGAGUGGAAUUCCUGGUGUAGCGGUGGAAUGCGCAGAUAUCGGGAGGAACACCAAUGGCGAAGGCAGCUCGCUGGGACGGUACUGACGCUGAGACGCGAAAGCGUGGGGAGCGAACAGG
rnacentral:rRNA from 1 species